rnacentral:rRNA from 1 species
GCAAGUCGAGCGGAAACGAAGAGGUGCUUGCACCUCUGGCGUCGAGUGGCAGACGGGUGAGUAAUGCUUGGGAAUAUGCCUUAUGGUGGGGGACAACAGUUGGAAACGACUGCUAAUACCGCAUGAUGUCUACGGACCAAAGUGGGGGACCUUCGGGCCUCACGCCAUAAGAUUAGCCCAAGUGGGAUUAGCUAGUUGGUGAGGUAAUGGCUCACCAAGGCGACGAUCCCUAGCUGGUUUGAGAGGAUGAUCAGCCACACUGGGACUGAGACACGGCCCAGACUCCUACGGGAGGCAGCAGUGGGGAAUAUUGCACAAUGGGCGCAAGCCUGAUGCAGCCAUGCCGCGUGUGUGAAGAAGGCCUUCGGGUCGUAAAGCACUUUCAGUAAGGAGGAAAGGUUAAGUGUUAAUAGCACUUAGCUGUGACGUUACUUACAGAAGAAGCACCGGCUAACUCCGUGCCAGCAGCCGCGGUAAUACGGAGGGUGCGAGCGUUAAUCGGAAUUACUGGGCGUAAAGCGUACGCAGGCGGU